GACGAACGCUGGCGGCGUGCCUAAUACAUGCAAGUCGAGCGGACCGGAUUGGGGCUUGCCUUGAUUCGGUCAGCGGCGGACGGGUGAGUAACACGUGGGCAACCUGCCCGCAAGACCGGGAUAACUCCGGGAAACCGGAGCUAAUACCGGAUAACACCGAAGACCGCAUGGUCUUCGGUUGAAAGGCGGCCUUUGGGCUGUCACUUGCGGAUGGGCCCGCGGCGCAGUAGCUAGUUGGUGAGGUAACGGCUCACCAAGGCGACGAUGCGUAGCCGGCCUGAGAGGGUGACCGGCCACACUGGGACUGAGACACGGCCCAGACUCCUACGGGAGGCAGCAGUAGGGAAUCUUCCGCAAUGGGCGAAAGCCUGACGGAGCGACGCCGCGUGAGCGAAGAAGGCCUUCGGGUCGUAAAGCUCUGUUGUGAGGGACGAAGGAGCGCCGUUCGAAGAGGGCGGCGCGGUGACGGUACCUCACGAGAAAGCCCCGGCUAACUACGUGCCAGCCGCCGCGGUAA
rnacentral:rRNA from 1 species